rnacentral:rRNA from 1 species
UACGGAGGGAGCUAGCGUUGUUCGGAUAUACUGGGCGUAAAGCGCACGUAGGCGGCGCAGCAAGUCAGGGGUGAAAUCCCGGAGCUCAACUCCGGAACUGCCUUUGAAACUGCAGUGCUAGAAUCUUGGAGAGGCGAGUGGAAUUCCGAGUGUAGAGGUGAAAUUCGUAGAUAUUCGGAAGAACACCGGUGGCGAAGGCGGCGACCUGGACCGACACUGACGCUAAUACACGAAAGCGUGGGGAGCAAACAGG